CUGCGAUCUCAGCCCUGCUCAGAGCAGCUUGGUUUCUCAUGGGGGUGGUGGGGAAAUAAAUAAUAAUAAAACUCUACAUGGACAUGAAUGUCCAAAGCUGAGCUUAGAAAGCCUGUGGGAGGAUGAGUGUCAGAGGGAAACUGCCUUGGAUCAGGGGCACAGGUGAAAGAAGGGAAGAGGUUGCCAGUUUUUCCCUGGGGUGCACAGCACGCAGCACCCGCAGCCCCUGUGCCUGUGGCUGUGACUCCACGGCCCCUGCCCCUCAGCGAGGGUCAGCCAAGGCCUGGGUAGCCGCUGGCAACUCGCUUAGCUUCAGAUCCUCAGUCUCAGCUACUUCCUCUCUGCAGAAGGAAAGUUUGUUUGUAAUUGCGGGACAUUACAGUACGCUCAAAGAGCCCCACUGUCCGGCAUGGAAAAAAAAAAGGGGGGGGGGGAAAAGAAGGAAAAAAAUAGUUUUUCCCCCUCCUCCCCCUUACUGCGCUUCCAAACGUGGAAGGGGCAGAAGGCGUUGCCACUCACCCAGCCGAAACUCUUUGAGGACCUGCGCGUUUUAGGCAUGUCGAUCAUUCCUCCACGCCCCUGCCCUCCCGGGGACCCCCGAAAUGUGGCACGGCGAACCCCCCGCUCCCGCCGUGAAAUGCCCCCACUCGUGACCGUGGCCGCUCCUGCCCGCUGCCCUGCGCACCCCGUGCGCCCCCCGCUGCCCCUUCCUCCCCUGGCACUGCUCGGCACCGGUCCUGCCCCUUGAGGGGGGGGGUUCCUGCCCCGUCCCGGCUCCAGGGGCUUGCAGGGGGGUGUGCGUGUGGGGGGGUGGGCUGGGGGGGGCGGCCUCGCAGCGCCCCGCCGGAGCGGGGAGGGGGGGCUCGCCCUCUCCCAGCCCCGAAAUGACGCAGCCCCUGCUCCAGCAUCGGCUCCCGUUCGGGCUGGCUCCAUUUCAGGAGCUCCGUCUCCCCCCCCCCCCCUCUUCCCAGCCUUCCUCCCUCCCCCCCCCCCGCCCCGCCCCGCCCCGCCCCACCCCCCCCCCCCAAACCCCCACCCCCCCCCCCCCCCCCCCCCCCCCCCCCCGCCCCGCCGCCCCAAACUCCUUCCUCAGGACCGUGGGAUGCUGGCGAGCCCUGGCGAGAGUUGCCGGUCUCCAUUUCCAAGCGGGGAGCCGCCGGGAGCGGUGAGGCAGCCGGCAGGGCUGGGGGGGACUGGGGGGACGGGGGGCUGCGCGGGCCCGGGGAAGGAUGUUGCGGGGGGGGGGGAGAAUGAAGGAUGGGGGGGCAGCACCCCGAAACACCGCCCCUUCGUACCCGGGAUAGGGGCAGCGCCUUCCCUUGCCCGCCGCCGUCACCGCACGGUGGCCCCUCCGCACCCCUCCUCGCCCCUUCAGGGCUGCCCGGUGCCCCCCCCAAGCCCUCCCCUCUUUUUUUGGGGAGGCGGGGGAGGACUGGGCUCCCCUCUGCCCUCCUCCGCGCCAGCAAUAGGGGGACCCGCUCACCCCGCCGCUGCCUCCCCCCCCUCCCUCCCCUCCCCUAAAUAAUAAUAAUAAUAAUAAAAAAAUCACCAUUCCCUUGCACACCACGAGGUACACUCUCUCGAUCUUCACCCCCUCCCCCCCCCCUUUUCAUUCCGCCCCCUCCCAGGCCGACCCUCUCCCCACCACCCCCCACCCGCCCCGCAUCCCGGGUGCAAGCGGAUCACCAAAAUCCAAGCUGGUUCCAAUUUUCCCCAGUUGUCUGCCUUUGAAACACUCAGAAGGCCCACUUUGUUCUCCAGCAUGGGGUUUUUGUCUCUCCAAGUCAUUCCUCAGCACCGCCUUGAAUGGCAUCUACUGCACACAACUUUUUCAGCCCACAAGGCUGAAACACUUCCUGUGACUGAAAUGGCUCCAACACAACUAUUUUCUAGAAGACAUUCCUCCUGAUUUCUUCUGGUGCCUGUAUGAUAACGGGAGAUGCAGGCUAGGAGCAACCAUUAUUAUCUAGUCUGAUCUUCUGCAUAAUAUAUGAUACUGAACUUAACCCAAUCUGAACUUUGUGUGAAGAUUUGCUUUUAUGCCUAAAAAUGCCUGCUCAUUUACAAAUAUGAUGCUGUUUCUCUGAGUACUAUCUGUGCAGCAGCAAGUUCCAUUAAUUAACUGUACAUUGUUUGGAAAAGCAAUACCUCUUAUCCGUUUGAAAUUUGAAACCUCUUCAUUUCACCUUGCAGGAUAGGAAAGGGUUUUUAUUCCUUUGCUGCUAAUUAGGUUGGAGGAUCAUGAGGACGAAAUGUUAUUUAUAUUAAAGUCAUGCUUAAGUAGAGCUCUGACGAAGCCUGGGGAUCCCAUUGCACAAACUGAGGGAGACUGUGCAAUUCCUUCGGGGCUGAGACUAUUUGAAUAGACAAAUGGCACAUUUUUGAAAGAGCUGAAUGAUUUAACUGAAAAGAGUGUUAGACAAGUCAAUGGAUUCAUACUUCUGAAUCACCUGCACAUUUCUGAAAAAUGAAUUCAAAGUCUGAAGGAAAGAAAGGUAUGGAAAAAUGAAGUUUUUGAAACUGAGACUUAAAAAUGAGUAUGGGAUGUAGUUGAUGAAAAUAAAAAGGUGUUGCUAAUAUGCAGCACUGUCCAUAGGUCACUUUGGCUUUCAGAGUCUCAUGCUCUGUAAGUCCUCCCUUUAAGAGAGCAAAAUGCACUGAGGAAAGAAUUUGCAAUAUCUGUUUAAUGCAAGGUCCCUAAACCUUCCAGACAGAGGACAAGGGCAUCUUCUAGAUUAACUCAGGCAACAGAGUUUGUUCCAAGUUUAUGGAAAGGUUUCAUGUAAAAUCUGCAGUCCCAUGAGGGUGAAUCUACCCUGAGAGACAGGCUGGGGCUUCUGUUCUUUAUCUUUUCUCAAGAAAUUCCACAUCCUUUUGACUUUUAUCAUUUUUAUUGCCAUUCUCUGGACUUGUUCUGUUUCUACUUUCUUUUUUUUCAGGGUUGAGGUGACCAAAUUUGAAGACAGUAUUCAAAGUGAGGAUGUGCCACUGAUUUAUAUAAUGGCAUUAUAAUAUUUUCUGUAUUAUUCUCUAAAACUCUUUUCUUCAUACAAACCCCAUAAGAUUCUUUUUAAUUCUUUGAACUAUAGUGCCUUUUAACAUCUGUAGUUUACUCUGAUCAGAUUUUGACAAAGGAAUAAAAGGAUCCAUUUUUCACAUAGAAUUUUAUUUAUUGUUUGAACUUUAGAGGAGAAAUUGGUUAACUUACAAUUUAAAAUUCUUGGCAAUGUAGAUCAUUGGGCAAGGACUUCAUUAUUAGCCCUUCUUUACUUUCUAGUAAGAAAGUGCAAGGCUGAAAGUUGGUGUACAAAGUCUUGGUUCAAAAGACUUGACUUUCACACUAUAAACACAGCCAAAGACUUAUUUGGAGCUGCAAGAUGGCCCAAAGAUGUCAGACAUGUCAUUCUUCUGUACCCUCUUCCUGAUGCAGGAUGCUGAGGCUGUGCACUUACACACUGUCCAGGCAGUGCCAGGCGUGUAUGCAAGCAAUAACUGAGCACUGCUGUAUCCUGUUUACUGUACCUCAUACCUCCACACUAGGUCAGGGGAAGACCCCUUUGAAAAUGAGGUGCUUGAUGACUGCAGAGGGUGAGGAUCUUGCUGUCAUGUCACAGCUGGGCAUGAUGCCUUCAUCAAGGUAUUAGAAAAGGCUCAAGGAAAAAAGCUACAUCCAUUCUAUUGCCUAAGACAGUUCCCGCAGCUACCGGCUUGCCUUAGAGUUACCAAUCCAAGUGCUGACCCUGCCUGACCCUACUUAUCUUGUAAAAGCUGACAAGAUCACAGCCUGAAGCAGUAUAGCCACAGGCUCAGUACUGGCUACCAAAAUGUCUGUUUAGUGUUUUCAGGAAACACUGCUCUUAAGAUUUACAAUACCGGCUGCUAGAAAUAUAGACAACACCAAAACACAGCCCUGACCCCUGAAUGUUCGGCCUCACUUAGACAGAAAUUUGUGCCUCUCAAGGGGCCAGCACUGAGUUGCCACAAAAUAGUUAUUCCCUACCUUCAAGUGAGCUGAAAUUGAAGCAUCCUAUGAAUGUAUACAUGCAGAUACUGGGGAGAAAUAUUUGAAGAGUACAGUCCUGAGUUCAGAAUUCAUUGUUUGCUUCUUUCAUCUGUUGCAUUACUACUUUUACAGUAGAAAGAGCUCUGCCAUUUUUGUGUGCUAUCUUUUAUUUAUUUAUUUAUUGGUUUAGUAUAGAAAUUUGUCUUAAUUCUUCCAUGACCAAAGCAAUUUUUCAUCUGAAGUUAUUUUAAGGUGAACUGUAAGCUUCUUCCCUAGCAAACAUUUUAACUCAUCUGUAUUAAAGCAAACACAUAUUCCUCCUGAAUAUCUUGAAGGAUAAACACAGGUUUAAAUACCCAAGAAAUAUUAAGGGACAAAUCUGGUUUAGUUGCUUGUACAUUCAUGCACAAUAUAAAUUCAUAGUUCUUGCACAGUGGUGUUUUGUUGUUUGGCUUUGUUUUUGUUUUUAAGAAAACCUAAGACAUGGAAAAGACACCAAGGUCUUAUUGCUCCUAUCGGAAAGUUUUGCUGACUACAGCAAGAGUUGGAUUGGGCCCAGAGAAACCAAAUACACACAAGGAACAAUGAGUUGGCCAUACACGCAAGGAAAAUCACAGAUAACAGAUGCACACAAAUUAGCAAUGUACCUCUUAGGUCAUCCAGUACAGCUUGCUGACACUGUGAGGUUGUUUCCUAUGGCAUAUUUUUUUGUUGUUUUCUGUGUCUAGAUUAAAUGUCCUAAGUGAGGCCAUGUCCCCAGGGAGAGAUUGUGCUGUCUGGUGUAUCUUGUUAGAAGUCUUUUUUUUUUUUUUUUUCUUCCUCUUUCUCCACAUCCUAGUUAUGUUCCUUUGCAAACCCCCUUCUUUUCCUUCAUGGAUGUUAUUUACCUCUAGUGUCUUUAGAUUACAAUGAUGUAAUGAUGUUGCAUUUAGUUAACAUUAAGUCAGCCCACACCUAUUUAGCUCAUUUAAUUUUCUCUGAUAAAUCACUCCUUUCAGUCCUCUGGUUAUUCUUCAUCUCCUCUCGUCCCAUUCCUGCCUGUCAAUAUCUUUUGUGGUUAUGAAAUUUUAAAGAUGUGAUAUAUUUCUCUUAACUAAUGACAGACCUGGUAUAGAUUCGAGCACCCUCAAUGUCUACUCAAUGAAAAACACUCCUGAUGCGUCUGGGGGAAACUCAUUGGUUCUUUGAGCAGACACACAGGUAUAGUAUCCUAUUCAAACUAUUUCCUUGGUACCACUUCUUCUACUGGCCAAAAAAAAAAAAAAAUCCUAUUUAAAAGAGUUAAUAUAGUGGUUCAAAAUCCAAAUACUUGUCACUAUGGAUUUAUUUUAUUUUUCACAACCUUAGGAGAUAGAUUAGCAUGGAUGAAAAAAUAUUUGUUGCUGUUGUUGAUUUCAAACUCUUGGUCAUGGACAUCGCAAUCUAAAAUUAUGGAAGAUAUUGUCUUGUCUAGCAACUAUAUUUAAGUGCCACUAGAGUACAUUGUAAAAAGUAAUUAUAUAUAUAGUCACAAGCUUAGCUGUUCACUUCAAGCAAUAAAUUCUGAUCAACAAACAACACUCCUUUAGUUCUAAAUGAGAUCUUGGUUGUAAUUGAAUGUCUUUACCUUUGUGUUCUGUUGGAUUGGAGGAAUAUCAUUUUAAUCUGCUCUCUUUAAAUUUUCAUUAAGGAACGUUUCAGCUACCUGCAGCCUCAUCUGAUGAUGUUUAAUGAUAUCAGCUAGCUCAUUCUUCCAUGCACCAGCAGGGGCUUCUUUAAAUUGGUCAACUGUACAGAACAUUGUUUUUGAGCUUAAUAUACUUGGAAUCAACCUUUAAAAAUAAUGACAUCUCUACAGACAGUUUAUAUACACAGUGCACCACACAUAUGUGCGUGUAUUUAUGUGUGCAUGUGUGUGUAUGCAUAUAUAUGCAUAACUGCACACUUUCAUACAGAAACAUUGAUCCCAUUCACCUUCUUGAAAACAUUUCAGCUAGUAUUAACAUAAAUGUGCUGUUAAAUUGGCAGUGUUAUACAUUUUUGUUAGAGUUUACUUCUGUAACCUAAAAUCAGAAAGAUAAGCUGUGAAACUCAUGCAGCUGAUGACAUAAUCCUAGUAUCUCGUGAUGCUGAAUCUCAUAUUUCUAGGAGUGUAGGAUGGAUGUUCCUUGCUGGAUAAUUAUGCUGCCUAUUGCAAUAUAUGUUUCCUUGUUUUCAUGUGGGCACUGAGAUGUUCAAACCAUUAAACAUAUAUGGUAUAAUGA